UACGUAGGGCGCAAGCGUUUGUCCGGAAUUAUUGGGCGUAAAGAGCUCGUAGGCGGCUUGUCACGUCGGGUGUGAAAGACCGGGGCUUAACCCCGGUUCUGCAUUCGAUACGGGCUGGCUAGAGUGUGGUAGGGGAGAUCGGAAUUCCUGGUGUAGCGGUGAAAUGCGCAGAUAUCAGGAGGAACACCGGUGGCGAAGGGCGGAUCUCUGGGCCAUUACUGACGCUGAGGAGCGAAAGCGUGGGGAGCGAACAGG
rnacentral:rRNA from 1 species